CAUGACAAUCAGAGGGACACCGAUCCUCCCUUUUUUCAAUGACCCAGAGCUGCGGGUGGAAUUCUACACUGGGACAAAUGAGGACUCAGACAUCGCCUUCCAUUUCUGAGUGCACUUUGGCCAUUGUCUGGCCAUUGACAGCCAUGUGUGUAGGGCCUGGAAGUGUGAGGGGAGAUGCCACAAUGUGCCCUUUUAGGAUGGCAAGCCAUUUGAUCUGAGCAUCUUGGUGCUGGACAAUGAAUACCAGGUAAUAAUAAAUAGCCAACACUGUUGCAGCUUUGUCCAUAACUCCCACCAUGUUCUGUGAAGAUGGUGCAAGUGUGGAGAGAUGUCUCCCUGACCUCAAUGUCUGUCUGCAGUUGA
rnacentral:lncRNA from 1 species